rnacentral:rRNA from 1 species
UACGUAGGGCGCAAGCGUUGUCCGGAAUUAUUGGGCGUAAAGAGCUCGUAGGCGGCUUGUCACGUCGGGUGUGAAAACCCGGGGCUCAACUCCGGGCCUGCAGCCGAUACGGGCAGACUAGAGUUCGGCAGGGGAGACUGGAAUUCCUGGUGUAGCGGUGAAAUGCGCAGAUAUCAGGAGGAACACCGGUGGCGAAGGCGGGUCUCUGGGCCGAAACUGACGCUGAGGAGCGAAAGCGUGGGGAGCGAACAGG